CAGUCGCCGCGGUAAUCCGUAGGGUGCAAGCGUUAAUCGGAAUUACUGGGCGUAAAGCGUGCGCAGGCGGUUUGUUAAGACAGAUGUGAAAUCCCCGGGCUCAACCUGGGAACUGCAUUUGUGACUGGCAAGCUAGAGUAUGGCAGAGGGGGGUGGAAUUCCGCGUGUAGCAGUGAAAUGCGUAGAUAUGCGGAGGAACACCGAUGGCGAAGGCAGCCCCCUGGGCCAAUACUGACGCUCAUGCACGAAAGCGUGGGGAGCAAACAGGAUUAGAUACCCCUGUAGUCCCUGUCUCUUAUAC
rnacentral:rRNA from 1 species